GACGAACGCUGGCGGCGUGCUUAACACAUGCAAGUCGAACGGAAAGGCCCUGCUUUUGUGGGGUGCUCGAGUGGCGAACGGGUGAGUAACACGUGAGUAACCUGCCCUUGACUUUGGGAUAACUUCAGGAAACUGGGGCUAAUACCGGAUAGGGGCUCCUGCUGCAUGGUGGGGGUUGGAAAGUUUCGGCGGUUGGGGAUGGACUCGCGGCUUAUCAGCUUGUUGGUGGGGUAGUGGCUUACCAAGGCUUUGACGGGUAGCCGGCCUGAGUGGGUGACCGGCCACAUUGGGACUGAGAUACGGCCCAGACUCCUACGGGAGGCAGCAGUGGGGAAUAUUGCACAAUGGGCGGAAGCCUGAUGCAGCAACGCCGCGUGCGGGAUGACGGCCUUCGGGUUGUAAACCGCUUUCGCCUGUGACGAAGCGUGAGUGACGGUAAUGGGUAAAGAAGCACCGGCUAACUACGUG
rnacentral:rRNA from 1 species